GAAUUGAAAGCUAAAUUAUUAAGCGCUGAUCUUGUAAGUCAGAAUAAGGAAAUUCCUCAAUUCU
rnacentral:tRNA from 1 species